GAUGAAGGUUUUCGGAUCGUAAAACUCUGUUGUUAGGGAAAAAACAAGUACCGUUCAAAUAGGGCGGUACCUUGACGGUACCUAACCAAAAAGCCACGGCUAACUACGUGCCACCACCCGCGGUAAUACUUAGGUGGCAAGCGUUGUCCGGAAUUAUUGGGCGUAAAGCGCGCGCAGGCGGUUUCUUAAUUCUGAUGUGAAAGCCCCCGGCUCAACCGGGGAGGGUCAUUGGAAACUGGGGAACUUGAGUGCAGAAAAGGAAAGUGGAAUUCCACGUGUAGCGGUGAAAUGCUUAGAGAUGUGAAGGAACACCAGUGCCAAAGGCAACUCUCUGGUCUGUAACUGACGCUAAGGCGCG
rnacentral:rRNA from 1 species